rnacentral:rRNA from 1 species
UGGGUAACCUGCCUCAAAGAGGGGAAUAGCCUCCCGAAAGGGAGAUUAAUACCGCAUAAUAUGUUUAAGUCGCAUGACUUUAACAUCAAAGGAUUUUUCUUUUAAGAAAUUCCACUUUGAGAUGGACCCGCGGCGCAUUAGCUAGUUGGUGAGGUAACGGCUCACCAAGGCAACGAUGCGUAGCCGACCUGAGAGGGUGAUCGGCCACAUUGGAACUGAGACACGGUCCAGACUCCGUAGGGAG